GAUGAACGCUGGCGGCGUGCCUAAUACAUGCAAGUCGAGCGAACAGACGAGGAGCUUGCUCCUCUGACGUUAGCGGCGGACGGGUGAGUAACACGUGGAUAACCUACCUAUAAGACUGGGAUAACUUCGGGAAACCGGAGCUAAUACCGGAUAAUAUAUUGAACCGCAUGGUUCAAUAGUGAAAGACGGUUUUGCUGUCACUUAUAGAUGGAUUCGCGCCGCAUUAGCUAGUUGGUAAGGUAACGGCUUACCAAGGCAACGAUGCGUAGCCGACCUGAGAGGGUGGUCGGCCACACUGGAACUGAGACACGGUCCAGACUCCUACGGGAGGCAGCAGUAGGGAAUCUUCCGCAAUGGGCGAAAGCCUGACGGAGCAACGCCGCGUGAGUGAUGAAGGUCUUCGGAUCGUAAAACUCUGUUAUUAGGGAAGAACAAAUGUGUAAGUAACUAUGCACGUCUUGACGGUACCUAAUCAGAAAGCCACGGCUAACUACGUG
rnacentral:rRNA from 1 species